GAGAGUGCUCAAGGAUUUGUCAGGAAACUGCUCAGAACCAAUCCGAAGUCAAGGCCGUCAACAAAGAAAGCACUCCGAGAGCCAUG
rnacentral:snRNA from 12 species